GACGGCUCCCCCUUCCUUCAAUUUGAUGCGCAGCAGCAGCAAUGUUUCCCUCAGCACACCCACAAUGUUUCCCUCAUCCAGCAACAGCAGCACCCCACGAUUUCUUUCCAUUUUCCAUGAAAGAAACGAAUCAGAAACAGAAAGGGGGAGAUAGAGCAGAGCUGCGAACAGGGGAGGGACGAGCCGCGCUACGGUCGCCAGUCACCUCGCCGCCGUGCCCGAAUCGCGUCCAGCGCUCGUCACCGCCAUUCGUCCUUAGCCUCAUCGCGUUCUUGUUCGGCCGCCGCUGCUUCCAUAUCCUCCAACGGCGCUGCUGUUGUCACAGAUUGAGCCGCCGCGAAGAGGAGGAAAGGGUGUUGCUUCACACCUCGCCGCCGCGUCGCGUCGAGGAGAAAGGGUGAGACUGAACGACGCUGGGAGAGAGAGGAAGACGCGAGCUGAAGGUCCGGUCGCCACUGUGCUUUGGGACAGAGUGAACCGCGCCGUGCUGUCGGGGGUCUCAUCGCCGCCGGAAAAGGAUUCAGGCCGCCGUUUCUGUCGUGGUUGGUGUCGCACCGGAGAACCAUCAUCGCGGGUUGGGGCUGAUCCUUUUGCUGUCGUUUCAUAGUUGCUGCGGCUUAUUUAGGGCCAUUGGACCUGACCGGAGAGAGAAGUGGUGACAGGGUGGAUGUUGGUGCUGGGUUAUUGCCGCCACUACUGCUGGCCGUUUUGAGCUGCUCUGCCGUCUCUACCGCUGGAGAAUGCAGCUUAGUCGCCGGAGAAUCCUGCUGUCGCCGCCGCCGGAGUCUGAUCACCAUUGCCGCCUGGCAUGGCUCCCGGGGCUACCGCCAAACCGGUUCGAAGACCGUUGCUGUUUCGGUUCAGCCGUUCCUUCUUCGGUUCGAGUCGUUGAGAUUGUUGAGAAAGCAAGUGGAGCCGAGUUGUUGGUUGCCCUCACUUCGGGUUGAGGCGAAAAGGACUCCGUGAGACGUUUGGGUUAUAGGUUUGCAUUUUAAGGAUAUGGGCACAGAAGUUACGAAGAGUUUAUUUAGUUGUUGUUGAAAUGCUCUGUAUUGCUUUAGCUUAUUAUUUAUUAUAUCCUCACCUUUAUCUUGAUAUAUUUUGUAAGAGGGAUAGGGAUUGUAUUGGUUAAUGUUUGUAAUAUUAUUUAUAGAUAUAUGUAUAUAUAUGGAUGUACUGUUGAUGAGUUUUGUAAGUUGUAUGGUAUUUAUGGAUGUACUUUGUCAAAGGAAAGUAUUUUUGGGAGCGAUUUUGCGGUUUAAAGUUUUAAACAGGCUCAUAUUUCAGUACUAAAUAGUAUAAGUGUCGUAAUGUCCGAGCUAUUAGAGUCGCGCAGCUGGAAGCGUGAGCUUUGGUAAUUAGGGUGUUACAGAAGGAGCCCGUAAGGAUGGUAAAUUCGAAUGUUAAGGGAGGUCCUGUCUAAGUUUUUAUAAAGAUAUAAAAAAGGUGAUUUUGAUUUGAAAAUUCGACUUAUAACCUUAUUUUGAGAAAUGUUUUUAUGUUGAAAAAAUAAUAGGUUUACAUAUUUAUAUAUAUCGAGAAAAUGCUUUUAUAUUGAAAAGUUUGAUUUAUAUUUCUAAAGUAAGGAAUGGCUUGGAUUUAAAACUGUUGGAAAGAGUUUGAGAAAGCGU